rnacentral:rRNA from 1 species
AACGAACGCUGGCGGCAUGCCUAACACAUGCAAGUCGAACGGACUGUAGCAAUACAGUCAGUGUCGAACGGGUGAAUAACGCGUGGGAACCUGCCUUGGAGUUCGGAAUAACUGCGGGAAACUGCAGCUAAUACCGGAUACGACCUCAGGGUGAAAGCAGCAAUGCGCUCCGAGAGGGGCCCGCGUCCGAUUAGCUAGUUGGUGGGGUAACGGCCUACCAAGGCGAUGAUCGGUAGCUGGUCUGAGAGGAUGAUCAGCCACACUGGAACUGAGACACGGUCCGGACUCCUACGGGAGGCAGCUGUGGGGAAUAUUGGACAAUGGGGGAAACCCUGAUCCAGCAAUGCCGCGUGGGUGAUGAAGGCCUUCGGGUUGUAAAGCCCUUUUGGCGGGGACGAUAAUGACGGUACCCGCAGAAGAAGCCCCGGCUAACUUCGUGCCAGCCGCCGCCGUAAUAC